rnacentral:rRNA from 1 species
GUGGGGAAUAUUGGACAAUGGGCGAAAGCCUGAUCCAGCAAUGCCGCGUGAGUGAUGAAGGCCCUAGGGUUGUAAAGCUCUUUUACCCGGGAUGAUAAUGACAGUACCGGGAGAAUAAGCUCCGGCUAACUUCGUGCCAGCAGCCGCGGUAAUACGAGGGGAGCUAGCGUUGUUCGGAAUUACUGGGCGUAAAGCGCGCGUAGGCGGUUUUUUAAGUCAGAGGUGAAAGCCCGGGGCUCAACCCCGGAAUAGCCUUUGAAACUGGAAAACUAGAAUCUUGGAGAGGUCAGUGGAAUUCCGAGUGUAGAGGUGAAAUUCGUAGAUAUUCGGAAGAACACCAGUGGCGAAGGCGACUGACUGGACAAGUAUUGACGCUGAGGUGCGAAAGCGUGGGGAGCAA